GUUCUCACUAGAGAUAUCAGUUUAUACUUGCGAGGGGGUUGGCAUCAACAUGUGUACCUGCUAUAUUACAUGGAUUGCCUACAUCGAGUUUUCUGAUGCUCAAGCUUUCAACAAAGCAAGCCUGCAAAGGGUAUAAAGCUUAGUUGUGUUUAUUUGAAUCAUCAGAAAGGGUGGAGAACAAAGCAGCUAAGAUUUGUAAGUUCCAUGUAUUCAAGUUUUGUAGGCAGUUAGUAAGUUUCUAUGUGUUUGGAACCUUCCAUGUAUUCCCUUAGAAAUUUGAUACUUGACAAAAAAAAAAA